CGGUGGGGAGCGUUUCCGGAAGGGGCGAGGCGGGGCGCCGCGCCGCAGGCCGGUGUGACUGCAGGUCUGAGUUGUGCCUGUGGCUGCGGCUGCGCGCUGCGCCUGGUUACAGUCUAAGUGUUGGAGGAUAGUCAGGGUGGAGGAUGGCGACUCUACAUCUCUUGAAACUCCUAUCAUUGGAGAAGGCCAAGACAAAUCUGCAUAACAGCUUUACCAUUGUUUACUGUAGUGUUCCCAGUAACCUCCCAUAACUGAUCCCAUCUUAACAACAGAUUUAUUUUUCUUCUGCUGAGGAAGAUUGUCCAUGAGCUAACAUCUGCGCCAGUCUUCCUCUGUUUUGUACGUGGGAUGCAGCCACAGCGUGGCUUGAGAGCAGUGCUAGGUCAUACCCAGGAUCCCAAUGCGUGAACCCCCGGGAGCUGAAGCAGAGCGCCUGACCUUAACCACUAUGGGACGGGGUGGCCCUGAUGAACAACAGAAUGUUAAAGCUAUUUUUCAGGGGCAGCAAGCAUGCGCAGAAGAGAAAAUUUUGACCUGCCAAUCAAACUCAUCCUGCCCCUCCUUGCAUACCAGCAGGCCCUCCCUAAUCCCUUAAACUCUACCCCAGCCUGGGAGAGAGAGAGACAUUUGAGAGCUUGGCCUCCUGUCUCCUUGCUGGUCCACCAUGUUUAAAGCCUUUUGUUUCUCAAAAGCAGGUGUGCCACUGUGUCAGCUUCUGUGCCCAUCAGGUGGCGAAGCCUUGCUUAGUAACAGUUUUAAGGGUUGGUACUUCAACCUGGGGAUCAUUGGGAACAUUUGAAGAUUUUGUUUUUAAAGGAGGUUCUAGUAGCAGUGUAAAAAUUGACCUGGAGAGACAAGACUGGUGGCCAGGAGGCCCAUUAGGAGGCUGCUAUAAUCUAGGUUUCUGGCCUGAGUAGCUGAGUAGAAUGUGGUCCCAAGCACUGAGAUAAUGAACACAGGAGGAGUAAGUUUGGAGGGAAGAUAGUACAUAUAGUUUUUUUAAGAUAUAAUACACAUAUAAAAUUCACCCUUUUAAAGUGUACAAUUCGAUGGUUUUUAGUACAGCCACAAGGUUUUGCAACCAUCAUCACUAAUUCCAGAGCAUUUUAUAUCCCCCGAUAGAAAUCCGUGUACCCAUUAGCAGUCAUUCCCCAAUCCCCCUUACUCUAUCCCCUGGCAAUAGCUAAUCUUUCUGUUUCUAUGGAUUUGUCUAUUCUGUACAUUGUAUGUAAACAGUAUCAUACAAUAUGUGGCCUUUUCUGUCUGGCUUUUAUUUAGCGUAAUGUUUUUAAAGUUCAUCCAUGUUGUAGCGUGAAUCAAUUCUUCAUUUCUUUACAUAAUAGCUGAAUAAUAUUCCUUUGUAUGGAUAUACCACGUUUUGUUUAUCCCCUUCUCAGGUGAUGGACAUUGGAGCUGUUUCUGCCUUUUGGCUGUUAUAAAUAAUGGUGCUGUGAA